rnacentral:lncRNA from 1 species
AAACACGUAUAAACCGAACACCUUCAAAAUUGAAAACUUCUUUGUGUCAAAGGACUUUAUCAUAAAAGUAAAGAGAUGAUCUACAGAAUGUGAGAAUAUUUGCAAAUCAUAUAUCUGAUGAGAGUCUUGUCUCUAGAAUAUAAAAGGAACUUUUACAAUUUAAUAAUGAAAAGAUAACCCAAUUUUUAAAAUGGACCAAGGAUCUGAAUAGAAACAUUUU